GUGUCCGUAGCUCAGUUGGUUAGAGCACCACCUUGACAUGGUGGGGGUCGGUGGUUCGAGUCCACUCGGACGCACCA
rnacentral:tRNA from 5 species